UCCCUCCGCCGCGUCCCGGGCCCCGCCCUGCCCGCUGGGCUAGCGGGACAAGACUGCGGGGCGGGCCGCGGGGAGGCGCAGGCGGGCCGGCCUCCGUAGGGACCGCGCGACUCUCCCGGCUGAGCUCUGAACCCGGCGCGCCCUGCCGUGUCCCAUCCGGGAAGGCGUGAAAAGAGAGAACGAGUAGAUCAGCCUGAAAGUUGCGGGGCAGCGCGGGUCCGUGGUGCAGUUCAAAAUGAAGCGGCUCGCCCCGCUGGGCAAGCUCAUGAAGGCGUACUGCGGGCUCAGUUAAGAGACGGAAGAUGAAGACACGAUCAAUGUGUUCCAGCAGCAGACAGGUGGAGGGUGCUAAGACACGCUGUCCUUUGGAGAAAGAGGAGUUUCAGGAUCCUCAUCUCACCUGACUCUCUCAUCUGUCCUCGAAUUUGCUAUUUUAAUAGUGAACAAAUGAGCAUUCCAAUCACACGGGGCUCCUCAAAACUUCAGAGGACAUUUACCAAAGUUGCUUGUUGCCUUUGACAUUCUGCAUGCACAAGUCAAAACAGUAUCUGCAGGGAUGGAUCAGCAUUUGAAUUGGGCCAGCUUGAUUUAAGUUCAGAUUAACUCAUGCGUAUUCUCUCUGCUGUUAUUUUUUUUAAUUGUUUUUACUAUAUUUAUUUUCUUUCUUUAAACCUAUAGCCUGAACAUUCAUCCAUGUGUUGGGACGUGGAGCGUUCAUUCCUGGCUCUGUUCAGUCUUGCACCUCUGUUUAACUCAAAUUAUGUAAAUCAGUGUAUUUUCAUGCUAGUUUUGAGCAUGAAAGUUUACUUUUAGGAGGCACCCAAGAGGAGGAACAGAGGUACUGGUUUUAAGUUCUUAGCUCGUGUUGCAAACGCAGUCGGUCCCUUGGGUGGCACUGAGCCCUCGGCACAGGCUGGAACAUGAGACAAUACUUACAGUAGAGUUCAAAUACUGAAGGUUUACAUGUGUUUUGUCAUGUUAUGAUAAAGGUGUCCAAAAUAUACUUUUUUUAUGCA